UUCAUUCAUUGCGAGCGGGCGGCGUGUGGCUGCGCAGCCGGGCCCCAUUCAUUCUUUUCCCGGCUCUCCCCAUUCAUUCAUUCCUUCAUUGAUUCCUCUGGACAACGCCGCGCGCGCGGUGCAAGCGUAGGCACCCGUCCUUCCUCCCCUGGCGCUGUAAGCCGAGCCAUGAACGAUCGCCAGCCCCUGAAAUUUAUCUUGAAACCUUCAGCCGGGAGCUGUCUCUUUCGUGGACGUGAAAUCGAGCGGGGGAAGAGAUGAUGGAAGCCUAAAGUCUUCUACACAAAGUUACAUUGUGAAGAAUGACAACUGUCAUUAGUUCUAUUUGUGUAAUUUGGGAAAUUGCUGUUUUCAAAUUGCAUUAAAUAUUCUGCAUUUGA